rnacentral:rRNA from 1 species
CUCUGAAUGUUAACGUGAAGAAAUUCAAAUAAGCGCGGGUAACGGCGGGAGUAACUAUGACUCUCUUCUGGUAGCCUAAAAUGCCCUCGUCAUCUAAUUAGUGACGCGCAUGAAUGGAUUAACGAGAUUCCCACUGUCCCUGUCUACUAUCUAGCGAAACCACAGCCAAGGGAACGGGCUUGGACUUCAAUGGCGGGGAAAGAAGACCCUGUUGAGCUUGACUCUAAUCUGUCUUCGUAAAGAGACUUGGAAAAUGUAGCGUAGAUGGGAGUGGCAACACGUCAAUGAAACACCAUUAUUUUCAUUGUUUCUUUACUUACUUGGUUAUACAGAGAUUGGAUUUUAUAUCCAGUGUUUGAGUGACAAAUGUCGAUACUUGUAUCGGCAUGAUCUGCUUCAAGGAAAGAGACAGGUGGGGGAGUUUGGCUGGGGCGGUACAUCUAUCAAAUGUUAACGUAGGUGUCCAAAAAGUUGACUCAGUGCGGACAGAAACCACACAUUGAGUAAAAGGGC